rnacentral:misc_RNA from 1 species
UCUCCGUAGGUGAACCUGCGGAGGGAUCAUUACAGAGUUCUCGCCCUCGCGGGUAGAUCUCCCACCCACUGUUAUCGUUACUGUCGUUUCUUUGGCGGGCCGCCGGGUCCCCGGCCGCCGGCGUCUAAUAGGCGGCGCGCGCCAGAGGCUUUUAAAAUCUCACUUGCAAUGAGUCUGAGCGAAAAAACAAUGCGAAAAACUUUCAACAACGGAUCUCUUGGUUCUGGCAUCGAUGAAGAACGCAAC